ACAUGUUGCAGCUCUUAAUUUUUAACUCUCAAAGUGCAUUAGAUAGAAUAAUUUAACUUUAAAAUUCUGUGCAAAACACUUGUGAUU